CACGUAAGGGGCGAGCGUUGUCCGGAUUCAUUGGGCGUAAAGGGCGCGCAGGCGGCCCGGAAAGUCGGAUGUGAAAACUCGAGGCUCAACCUCGAGCGUGCACCCGAUACUGCCGGGCUUGAGGCAGGUAGGGGAGAUCGGAAUUCCUGGUGUAGCGGUGAAAUGCGCAGAUAUCAGGAGGAACACCGGUGGCGAAGGCGGAUCUCUGGGCCUGUCCUGACGCUGAGGCGCGAAAGCUAGGGGAGCGAACAGG
rnacentral:rRNA from 1 species